UAUUAGUAGACUAAAGCGUAAUCCCUCCACUUAUUUCAAUUAUCUGUUUUACAUCUUGCAUUGUGAUUGUGCCUAUAAGAACCGCAAUCUGUUUCCAUUCUAGACGCUGGGAAAUGGACAGAACUGGAAACCGGGAACAGGGUUACUUACCUUGAUACUUGGCCAUUGGCUAGGGAGAUUUUUCUUCCUAGAUUCUCUCUGGGGCUGGAGAGAUGAGAGUAGAACCAGUCUAUUCAGGUUUUAAGGGCACCUCACAUCCUAUCUGGACAGUGGUAGUUCUGUUUUAAAGCACUUGUCCUUUUGUUUGUUUUAAUCAAUGGUUCUGUUUUUAUUUGAUCUAAAAUAUUCCAUUCCAUAUUCCAACUAUUUUGAUUCCUUAAACAUAUGGAAACAGAACUAUUUAUCUUUUUUGAGACGGGCAGUUCUGUUUAAGCCCGUUAUGAAAACUUUUUUAUUUGAAGUUCCAACCUCUUCCUUAUUCAGUUCAAGCUUUGUUCCAAGCGUUUAUGCAUGCUUUUCAAUCAAAUGUUGAAUGAAGUUGAGUUACUUUUAUUUACUUUGCUUAUUAUUUGUACAGACACGUUGCUCACAGCCUCUCUUCUGGCCCCUGGAGAGAGCUUGGUGUGAUUGAUGUCUAGGGCCUAACAAAGCAAGGGUGCUCCAACAACUGUGGCGUGUUUGUUUUGAUGGAAAACAUGCUGCAAAUUAGGAGAUGGUGGUGUCUCGCUCUCCUGCAGAACUUUCCCAUGCCGUCUGAAGACCGAUUGCAGGACAGAAAACGGCGACGAGUGCAACGAGGGCUACAGACGCUGGGAAAUUGACAGAACUGGGAACAGGGUUACUUGUUAUGGGCCAGAAAAAUACCUUGAUACUUGCCAUUGUUAAACAUUUAUGGAAGCCUAAGGAAUGUAUUUGGCUAGGCUAGAACAUUUUUUUUUAUUUCUUUACAGAUCAAACAUUUUUUGCCUGGGGUGAAAAUAAAAAUCAAUGAUGCAAAGUCUUCUGUCUUUGGUCUAUUUGACUUAGCUAAUAUAAUUGAGUGUACAAAAUAAUAUGUGUCUAUACUCUUACGGAAAUGCUAUGGUUUAUAUAUAUAUAUAUAUAUAU
ensembl:lncRNA